AAGUCGUAACAAGGUUUCCGUAGCACCGUCUACAAAGAACAGCAAUGUUCCUUCUGCAGAGUACACUUGCCGAAGCCUUAGUGGCCCGAAAGGGUGCAGCCAGUGACUCUAAACAAGUAGGAUGCUUAAUCGCUAGUCUCCCAGGAGGCAACACUAUCAAAUUGCGGGAACAUCCUGUCAAGUCUUCACUACCGCGGCUCACCGAAAGGUUGAGUGCAGCACCAGGGUAAUGACCUCGGGGAAGGUAACAAUGUGAAGAAUAGGGACAAUCCGCAGCCAAGCCCUACGUUCCCUCAUUGGGAAUAAGGGUGCUGUUCACAGGCCAAAUGGUAGUGGGCACCUUAUGAGUGCUUAAGAUAUGGUCGAGUCCCACAUGAGAGUGUGGGUACAAGUACUCUUUUAGCUUAUAAUGCAAAUGUUCCGUAGGUGAACCUGCGGAAGGAUCAUUAAUGAAUUAAAAGUCGGCCGUCUGUGCUGGUGGCAACACAUGUGCACGCCGGUCGCAAAUCCACACACCUGUGCACUUUAGACUUUGGGAUUCGCAUUCACGUGCAGUCGGUCUCCUUUGGGAGACUUGAAUUCCAGGGUAUUUUACACACACCCUGAAUGUAAUGGAAUGUACCUGUGCUUAACCGCGCAUUUAAUACAACUUUCAACAACGGAUCUCUUGGCUCUCGCAUCGAUGAAGAACGCAGCGAAAUGCGAUAAGUAAUGUGAAUUGCAGAAUUCAGUGAAUCAUCGAAUCUUUGAACGCACCUUGCACCCUUUGGUAUUCCGAAGGGUACACCCGUUUGAGUGUCAUUGUAAUCUCACACCCUCAGACUUUUGUUGAAAGGGAGGUGGACUUGGAYGYUGUCGUGUCACUACGRCUCGUCUCAAAUGCAUGAGUGUACCCUGCRUCCGCAGYGUAUUCGGUGUGAUAAGCAUCUUCACCGGAGUAGUGCCYUYGGGCUCGCGCUUGCAAAUGUUGGGCUCUGYACUUCAAACCGUCUUCGGACAACAACUGACAAUUUGACCUCAAAUCGGGUGGGACUACCCGCUGAACUUAAGCAUAUCAAUAAGCGGAGGAAAAGAAACUAACAAGGAUUCCCCUAGUAACGGCGAGUGAAGAGGGAAAAGCUCAAAUUUUAAAUCUGGCGUCUUCGGCGUCCGAGUUGUAAUCUAGAGAAGUGUUUUCCGUGUCGGACCRUGCAAAAGUUCCCUGGAACGGGGCGUCAUAGAGGGUGAGAAUCCCGUAUAUGGCAYGGACUCCCGAUGCUCUAUGAUACACUCUCGACGAGUCGAGUUGUUUGGGAAUGCAGCUCAAAAUGGGUGGUAAAUUCCAUCUAAAGCUAAAUAUUGGCGAGAGACCGAUAGCGAACAAGUACCGUGAGGGAAAGAUGAAAAGCACUUUGGAAAGAGAGUGAAACAGUACGUGAAAUUGUUGGAAGGGAAGCGUUUGAAGUCAGUCACGCUUGUCGGAACUCAGCCUGGCUUCUGCCUGGUGUACUUUCUGGYGAGYGGGUCAGCGUCAGUUUUGGUCGAGGGAGAAAGGCAUUGGGAAUGUGGCAGUCUUCGGGCUGUGUUAUAGCCCUUUGUUGUAUGCCUCGACUGGGAUUGAGGACUGCAGCGCGCCUUUAUGGCCGGGGUUCGCGCCCUCGGUACGCGCUUAGGAUGCUGGCAUAAUGGCUUUAAGCGACC
rnacentral:rRNA from 1 species